UCCCAAGUGGCUCAGUUGGUAAAGAAUCUGCCUGCAAUUCAGGAGACCCAGGUUCGAUCCCUGGGUUGAGAA
rnacentral:tRNA from 1 species